UUCGCAAUGCCCGAAAGGGUGACGAAGCGACGCCGCGUGGGUGAGGAAGGCCUUCGGGUUGUAAAGCCCUGUCAGGAGUUAAGAAAUGUAAGUGCGCUAAUAUCGCAUUUAUUUGACGAAGGCUCCAAAGGAAGUCACGGCUAACUCUGUGCCAGCAGCCGCGGUAUACAGAGGUGGCAAGCGUUGUUCGGAAUUAUUGGGCGUAAAGAGCACGUAGGUGGGUUUGUAAGUCAGAUGUGAAAGCCUUCUGUUCAACGGAAGAAUUGCAUCUGAAACUGCGAGUCUUGAGUGUAGGAGGGGAGAAUGGAACUUCUGGUGGAGCGGUGAAAUGCGUAGAUAUCAGAAGGAACGCCGGCGGCGAAAGCGAUUCUCUGGCCUAUUACUGACACUCAGUGUGCGAAAGCUAGGGGAGCAAACGGGAUUAGAUACCCCGGUAGUCCUAGCCGUAAACGAUGGGCACUAAGUAGAGGGGUUUU
rnacentral:rRNA from 1 species